CGAACGAAACACCUUAUUUGAUUUUCUUCGGAACUGAAGAUUUGGUGAUUGAGUGGCGGACGGGUGAGUAACGCGUGGGUAACCUACCCUGUACAGGGGGAUAACAGUCAGAAAUGACUGCUAAUACCGCAUAAGACCACAGCACCGCAUGGUGCAGGGGUAAAAACUCCGGUGGUACAGGAUGGACCCGCGUCUGAUUAGCUGGUUGGUGAGGUAACGGCUCACCAAGGCGACGAUCAGUAGCCGGCUUGAGAGAGUGAACGGCCACAUUGGGACUGAGACACGGCCCAAACUCCUACGGGAGGCAGCAGUGGGGAAUAUUGCACAAUGGGGGAAACCCUGAUGCAGCGACGCCGCGUGAGUGAAGAAGUAUCUCGGUAUGUAAAGCUCUAUCAGCAGGGAAGAAAAUGACGGUACCUGACUAAGAAGCCCCGGCUAACUACGUGCCAGCAGCCGCGGUAAUACGUAGGGGGCAAGCGUUAUCCGGAAUUACUGGGUGUAAAGGGUGCGUAGGUGGUAUGGCAAGUCAGAAGUGAAAACCCAGGGCUUAACUCUGGGACUGCUUUUGAAACUGUCAGACUGGAGUGCAGGAGAGGUAAGCGGAAUUCCUAGUGUAGCGGUGAAAUGCGUAGAUAUUAGGAGGAACAUCAGUGGCGAAGGCGGCUUACUGGACUG
rnacentral:rRNA from 1 species